rnacentral:rRNA from 1 species
CAGUAGCCGCGGUAAUACGUAGGGUGCAAGCGUUAAUCGGAAUUACUGGGCGUAAAGCGUGCGCAGGCGGUUAUAUAAGACAGAUAUGAAAUCCCCGGGCUCAACCUGGGAACUGCAUUUGUGACUGUAUAGCUAGAGUACGGCAGAGGGGGAUGGAAUUCCGCGUGUAGCAGUGAAAUGCGUAGAUAUGCGGAGGAACACCGAUGGCGAAGGCAAUCCCCUGGGCCUGUACUGACGCUCAUGCACGAAAGCGUGGGGAGCAAACAGGAUUAGAUACCCCCGUAGUCCCUGUCUCUUAUAC